GCUCCCAUCGUCUAGCGGUUCAGGACUCCGCCCUCUCACGGCGGCAACAGGGGUUCGAAUCCCCUUGGGAGUACCA
rnacentral:tRNA from 1 species